AGAUACAUGGAGUGCAGACUUCAAAUCUCUCUAUGACAUCAUCUAAGGUGUGUUGCCAGCACUAAGAGGCUUUCCCAAGGUCUAAAGAAAGCUAUGCCACAGUGAGCCUAAUUUGGGCCUCUCUAAUACAGCCUAAACUCACUCAUUUCAGGUGAUCCUGAGAGCCUAGGGAGCUUACUCAUCACAAUAAAUAAAUAGGAUCCUGUGUUUGAAAAAUCUGUGGACCAGAUGGUGACUGAUUGCCAGGUUGGUGAAUCAAGUCAGGUAGGAACUAGUCACAAAGACAAGCAGCAACCAGUAAUGUGUCAACAUGAAAGGAAAUAUGGGGAUUGAAAAGCCAAGUCUCAAGACAGCAUGGUGUGGAGCAAUGAGGUGGAUAAUACUGCAGUAAGCAUGAAAGAUAUUAAUGAGAAAGAGAAAACCCAUUUUGAAGAUGAAUGCACAGGAAGAAAACACAGGAAUACAUAGAUGAAUAAAGGAAGAUAAUACCUUAUCCCGUCCUACCUGUUCCUACCAGAUUCCUCCCUAGUCAUGACUUACCAAGGAAGAAGAGGCUUUCAGAAUUAUUAUUCCUUGGAUUUGUUCAUAAAGCAGCACCAAUGCGU